rnacentral:rRNA from 1 species
GACGAACGCUGGCGGCGUGCUUAACACAUGCAAGUCGAACGGAAAGGCCCUGCUUGCAGGGUGCUCGAGUGGCGAACGGGUGAGUAACACGUGGGUGAUCUGCCCCUUACUUUGGGAUAAGCCUGGGGAAAUUGGGCUAAUUCUGGGUAGGGACCUGCCGGAGGUGGGGUGGGUGGAAGGUUUUUUCGGGUAAGGGAUGAGCUCGCGGCCUAUCGGCUUGUGGGUGGGGUAUUGGCCUACCAAGGCGUCGACGGGUAGCCGGCCUGAGAGGGUGGACGGCCACAUUGGGACUGAGAUACGGCCCAGACUCCUACGGGAGGCAGCAGUGGGGAAUAUUGCACAAUGGGCGCAAGCCUGAUGCAGCGACGCCGCGUGGGGGAUGACGGCCUUCGGGUUGUAAACUCCUUUCAGCCAUGACGAAGCCUCUUUUGGGGUGACGGUAGUGGUAGAAGAAGCACCGGCUAACUACGUG